CUUACUCCCCCGUCCCCCUCUUCUUCCCCCCCUCGCCUCCUUCCUCUUACCCCUCCUCUCACCUCCCCUUCCCUAUAGGGCCCGGACGGAGUGAUAGGAAGGUGCACACUCAGUGUGGACAGGAGUUUCUGUUUCCUGUACCCGGCCGGACUGACAGGAAGUGCACACUCAGUGUGCACCUUCCUAUCACUCCGGCCGGGAACGCGCUGACCGGAGAGGAGCUCGGCCACGCUACAGGAGAGGGGAGGGGAGAAGCAACUGCAGCCGCCUGAGGCUCUUAACAGAGCGCUCAGGCGCAUGCAGCAUUUAAAGG